rnacentral:tRNA from 1 species
GCGUCGGUGGUUCAGUGGUAGAAUACUCGCCUGCCACGCGGGUGGCCCGGGUUCGAUUCCCGGCUGACGCA